ACCAGGAUGGCCGAGUGGUUAAGGCGUUGGACUUAAGAUCCAAUGGAAGUUUGUGUCCUCGUGGGUUCGAAUCCCACUCCUGGUA